rnacentral:lncRNA from 1 species
UCAAGCUUCUCAAACAACUCAGAAAAUGGUUUUCUGGAAAUACUGAGAGGGUCGACCCAAGAUGAAGUUGAGUCGACCCAAGCUUGAGUCGACCCAAACCCUGAGUGGGUCGACCCAAAGGCAAGACAGAACAGAUGACAGAAAAGGUUCCCUGGAAACCCUGUUAGGGUCGACCCAAGAAGAAGUUGAGUCGACCCAACUGAACCUUGAGUCGACCCAAAGAAAGGUUGGGUCGACCCAAGUGAAGGAAGGCUGAAUUGCAAGUUUCUGUGUUUCUGAGAGGGUCGACCCAAGGAAUGUUUGAGUCGACCCAAGUGAAAGUUGGGUCGACCCAAGGACAGGUUGAGCCGACCCAAACACGGGCAGAAGCAUAACGGCUAGUUCUGCAGAAGUACUUUUUGUCCUUCCAACAGUGAGUAACGACUAGUUUUUGAAUUCUAACCAUUGGGGCUUGUCCAAUGGAUGAAGAAA